rnacentral:rRNA from 1 species
CCACAAACCAUCGCGAAUCUUACCCGUACGGUUGCCUCGGCGCUGGCGGUCCGGAAAGGCCCUCGGGCCCUCCCGGAUCCUCGGGUCUCCCGCUCGCGGGAGGCUGCCCGCCGGAGUGCCGAAACUAAACUCUUGAUAUUUUAUGUCUCUCUGAGUAAACUUUUAAAUAAGUCAAAACUUUCAACAACGGAUCUCUUGGUUCUGGCAUCGAUGAAGAACGCAGCGAAAUGCGAUAAGUAAUGUGAAUUGCAGAAUUCAGUGAAUCAUCGAAUCUUUGAACGCACAUUGCGCUCGCCAGUAUUCUGGCGAGCAUGCCUGUUCGAGCGUCAUUUCAACCAUCAAGCUCUGCUUGCGUUGGGGAUCCGCGGCUGUCCGCGGUCCCUCAAAAUCAGUGGCGGGCUCGCUAGUCACACCGAGCGUAGUAACUCUACAGCGCUAUGGUCGUGCGGCGGGUUCUUGCCGUAAAACCCCCCAUUUCUAAGGUUGACCUCGGAUCAGGUAGGAAUACCCGCUGAACUUAAGCAUAUCAA